ACUCCCCAAACCAAAUAAGGGAGAGAAGAAUGUUCUGAGCAUUAAGGAUACUAAGAAUAAAUCUGAGCAAUCAUGGAUAAGAUUACUUUCAACUCUUUAUUUCAUGUUUUCUGACACAGACCCCCAAGAUCUGUAAUUAUCUUAGAGAAACUGCGGGGGCUUAGACAAUACUUUUUAGUUCUUCGGGUUUUUUUUUUUUUUUGGCCUAUCUCUGGGGCUUGAGAGAGUGUGUGUGUGUGUGUGUGUGUGUGUUCCUCUAGAGUGCCAAAAGG
rnacentral:lncRNA from 1 species